AAUUGCGACAAUCGAAAUUUUCAAGGAUCAGGUUGUAGCUCCAGUGUUUGAAUUCUUAUUUAAUACGACAAUAGGGAUCCCAUCAAUAAAAUAAUAAUAAUAUAUAACAACAAAAAAUAUAUAUCCAAUACGAUAUAACAGCGGGGUUGUUUUAUUGAGGAUCCCAGAAGAGCAGAUAAAAUAAUAUAAUUUCCUUAAAAGUGGAAAAUUCAUUAAAAUUUAAAUAAAUAAACUUUGUCUUUAAUAGGUAUUAAGGAAAGUAAGUUCCGGGGUUAAUUCUCAGUUAAAUAAUACGAUGGAAUCGUGUCAGUUUCAUGACGCCGGUAAAUAUUUGUCACCCGUCCAACGUGGAAUAUAAAAGUAUUCUGAUACAAAAACUAUUUGUCUACUUACGGCUCAAGAAAUUUAUUUAUUAUAUUAAAUAUGAUUAAAAUUGUAUUAAUUAAAAUUUCAUCCAGCUUUAUAUUAAAAUAUAAUUUCUAUAUUUAUUAAUAAUUAAAAAAUUUAAAUUUAUCCUCUAAUUAGGAAUUAAUAUUAUAAAUUAUAAG
rnacentral:rRNA from 1 species